rnacentral:lncRNA from 1 species
AGACUUGCUGACGUCAUAGUGCUUCCUCAGUUUGAGAUAAGAAGGGAAGAUCUGCCCAGAAGGAGAGAGUUGAGGAUAGUCGGGAAAGAAGUUAGCAGAGAAACACCUUUGUGUGACGGCGAUAUUCCUGAGGGGACCAACGGCAUCAAGUCUACAGAGCAGAGUUCCAAGGAUAGAAGUACCUCCAUUCCUGAUUUUCCCAACUGUGUGCUCUACCUGGAUUCCUGUGAUCGUGUCAUUGAAAAAAAGAAUUUAAGGAGAGCAGUUUGAACUGUAAGAUUCCUGUUCGUUCUUCUGAUGACUACUGACUGAAUUUUAAAGGUAUUAUUGAAGGUUUUGGAGCAGCUCACCUAACUCUCUUCUUGAAGAAAAUAUUUAUGAUAUAGAAGCAUUGGCUGUCUAAGUUGCUUGUAAGUCUUUGGUCACUUUCAUAUCUUCAUGUAGAGCAUUUUUUUUUACUACAUAUUUUUGUCCAUCCUCUCCUAGGCACCUUUCAAUUAAUGAGUAUCAUUGUAGAUAUUUUCUUGGUUUGGAAAAUCUAUAACAGAUGUUGCCCAGUAGCUCUAAUUAUCUUUACAGCUUUCUUAGGUCAUUUUGAUUAUAAAGCUGGAUGAUGAGUAUGAGCACUGUGAGACUAAUAAGCCCAGAGUUUAUUUAAUAAAGAG